GGGGGUAUAACUCAGUGGUAGAGUACCUGUUUUGCACUCAGAAUGUCAUUGGUUCAAUUCCAAUUAUCUCCA
rnacentral:tRNA from 1 species